GACGAACGCUGGCGGCGUGCCUAAUACAUGCAAGUAGAACGCUGAAGAGAGGAGCUUGCUCUUCUUGGAUGAGUUGCGAACGGGUGAGUAACGCGUAGGUAACCUGCCUUGUAGCGGGGGAUAACUAUUGGAAACGAUAGCUAAUACCGCAUAACAAUGGAUGACACAUGUCAUUUAUUUGAAAGGGGCAAUUGCUCCACUACAAGAUGGACCUGCGUUGUAUUAGCUAGUAGGUGAGGUAACGGCUCACCUAGGCGACGAUACAUAGCCGACCUGAGAGGGUGAUCGGCCACACUGGGACUGAGACACGGCCCAGACUCCUACGGGAGGCAGCAGUAGGGAAUCUUCGGCAAUGGGGGCAACCCUGACCGAGCAACGCCGCGUGAGUGAAGAAGGUUUUCGGAUCGUAAAGCUCUGUUGUAAGUCAAGAACGAGUGUGAGAGUGGAAAGUUCACACUGAGACGGUAGCUUACCAGAAAGGGACGGCUAACUACGUG
rnacentral:rRNA from 1 species